UCAAGUAAUUAAGUGCAUGUGGUGGAUGCCUUGGCAGUCAGAGGCGAUGAAAGACGUGAUAGCCUGCGAAAAGCUCCGGGGAGGCGGCAAAUAUCCUUUGAUCCGGAGAUGUCUGAAUGGGGGAACCCACCUACUUUAAGGUAGGUAUUGCAACAUGAAUACAUAGUGUUGCAAGGCGAACGAGGGGAAGUGAAACAUCUCAGUACCCUUAGGAAAAGAAAUCAAUUGAGAUUCCCUCAGUAGCGGCGAGCGAACGGGGAUCAGCCCAUUAAGUUAUGUGUGUUUUAGUGGAACGCUCUGGGAAGUGCGAACGUAGAGGGUGAUAUUCCCGUACACGAAAGGGCACACAUAAUGAUGACGAGUAGGGCGAGGCACGUGAAACCUUGUCUGAAUAUGGGGGGACCAUCCUCCAAGGCUAAAUACUCCUGACUGACCGAUAGUGAACCAGUACCGUGAGGGAAAGGCGAAAAGAACCCCUGUGAGGGGAGUGAAAUAGAUCCUGAAACCGCAUGCAUACAAGCAGUGGGAGCACCUUCGUGGUGUGACUGCGUACCUUUUGUAUAAUGGGUCAGCGACUUAUAUUCAGUAGCAAGGUUAACCGUAUAGGGGAGCCGUAGAGAAAUCGAGUCUUAAUAGGGCGUUUAGUUGCUGGGUAUAGACCCGAAACCAGGCGAUCUAUCCAUGAGCAGGUUGAAGGUUGGGUAACACUAACUGGAGGACCGAACCCACUGUCGUUGAAAAGCCAGGGGAUGACUUGUGGAUAGGGGUGAAAGGCUAAUCAAGCCUGGUGAUAGCUGGUUCUCCCCGAAAGCUAUUUAGGUAGCGCCUCGGACGAAUACCAUAGGGGGUAGAGCACUGUUUCGGCUAGGGGGUCAUCCCGACUUACCAAACCGAUGCAAACUCCGAAUACCUAUGAGUACUAUCCGGGAGACAGACUGCGGGUGCUAACGUCCGUAGUCAAGAGGAAAACAAUCCAGACCGCCAGCUAAGGCCCCAAAAUCAUAGUUAAGUGGGAAACGAUGUGGGAAGGCAUAGACAGCUAGGAGGUUGGCUUAGAAGCAGCCACCCUUUAAAGAAAGCGUAAUAGCUCACUAGUCGAGUCGGCCUGCGCGGAAGAUGUAACGGGGCUAAAACUAUGUGCCGAAGCUGCGGAUGUAUACUUUGUAUACGUGGUAGGGGAGCGUUCUGUAAGCCGAUGAAGGUGUGUUGAGAAGCAUGCUGGAGGUAUCAGAAGUGCGAAUGCUGACGUGAGUAACGACAAAACGGGUGAAAAACCCGUUCGCCGAAAGACCAAGGGUUCCAGUCCAACGUUAAUCGGGGCUGGGUGAGUCGACCCCUAAGGCGAGGCCGAAAGGCGUAGUCGAUGGGAAAAUGGUUAAUAUUCCAUUACUUCUGUGUAAUGCGAUGAGAGGACGGAGAAGGCUAAAUCAGCCUGGCGUUGGUUGUCCAGGUGAAAGGAUGUAGGCAUGUAUCUUAGGCAAAUCCGGGGUACUCUAUGCUGAGAUCUGAUAGCAAGCUGUACUUGUACAGCGAAGUGGUUGAUGCCAUGCUUCCAGGAAAAGUCUCUAAGCUUCAGUUACACAGGAAUCGUACCCGAAACCGACACAGGUGGUCAGGUCGAGUAGACCAAGGCGCUUGAGAGAACUCUGCUGAAGGAACUAGGCAAAAUGGUACCGUAACUUCGGGAGAAGGUACGCUGUUGUUGGUGAUGGAACUCGCUUCCUGAGCUGACGACAGCCGCAGAAACCAGGCCGCUGCAACUGUUUAUUAAAAACAUAGCACUCUGCAAACACGAAAGUGGACGUAUAGGGUGUGAUGCCUGCCCGGUGCUGGAAGGUUAAUUGAUGGGGUUAGCGUAAGCGAAGCUCUUGAUCGAAGCCCCAGUAAACGGCGGCCGUAACUAUAACGGUCCUAAGGUAGCGAAAUUCCUUGUCGGGUAAGUUCCGACCUGCACGAAUGGCAUAAUGAUGGCGGCGCUGUCUCCAGCAGAGGCUCAGUGAAAUCGAAAUCGCUGUGAAGAUGCAGUGUACCCGCGGCUAGACGGAAAGACCCCGUGAACCUUUACUGCAGCUUGACACUGAACUUUGACCUUACUUGUGUAGGAUAGGUGGGAGGCUUUGAAGCUGGAACGCUAGUUCCAGUGGAGCCGUCCUUGAAAUACCACCCUGGUAAUGUUGAGGUUCUAACUCUGUCCCGUGAUCCGGGACGAGGACCGUGUCUGGUGGGUAGUUUGACUGGGGCGGUCUCCUCCUAAAGAGUAACGGAGGAGUACGAAGGUGCGCUCAGCGUGGUCGGAAAUCACGCGUAGAGUAUAAAGGCAAAAGCGCGCUUAACUGCGAGACCCACAAGUCGAGCAGGUACGAAAGUAGGUCUUAGUGAUCCGGUGGUUCUGUAUGGAAGGGCCAUCGCUCAACGGAUAAAAGGUACUCUGGGGAUAACAGGCUGAUACCGCCCAAGAGUUCAUAUCGACGGC
rnacentral:rRNA from 1 species